rnacentral:rRNA from 1 species
AGAACAACUCUCAGCAACGGAUAUCUUGGCUCUUGCAACGAUGAAGAACGCAGCGAAAUGCCAUACGUAGUGUGAAUUGCAGAAUUCCGCGAAUCAUCGAGUUUUUGAACGCAAGUUGCGCCCGAGGCUUGUCCGAGGGCAUUUCCGCUAGAGCGUCACC